rnacentral:rRNA from 1 species
CCUGGUUGAUCCUGCCAGUCGUUAUAUGCUUGUCUCAAAGAUUAAGCCAUGCAUGUCAUUAAAGCUUUUUGUUAAACAGUAAAGCUGCGAACGGCUCAUUAAAUCAGUCAUAAUUUACCGCUCGGAAAACUUACGGCUACCCAUGGUAAUUCUAUGGUUAAUACGUUGCACAUGUUACAUGUUCAAAGAUCCAGAAAAAAAUCAUGUUGAUUCAUGGAUUGAUUUGAUAUACUUUUUGCAGUGACGAGCGUCAAAUUUCUGCCCUAUCAAGUAGUCGGUAGGGUAGUGGCCUACCGAGCGCACGACGGGUACCGGGGAAUCAGGGUUCGAUUCCGGAGAGGGAGCAUGAGAAACGGCUACCACUUCCAAGGAAGGCAGCAGGCGCGCAAAUUACCCAAUCCCCAUGCGGGGGAGGUAGUGACAAGAAAUAACGUUCCUUGCAUUCUAUGCAAGGUUUCGGAAUGAGUGUAAUUUAAAUACUUGCACGAGGAACAAUUGGAGGACAAGUCUGGUGCCAGCACCCGCGGUAAUUCCAGCUCCAAUAGCAUAUACAAAAAUUGUUGCAGUUAAAACGCUCGUAGUCGAAAUCCUUUACGGUAUCUCGUGGGCUAGCAUCUGGGUAGCAUGAAAGUGCUGCGAAGGAUGUCCCCUUGAGCCGGUCAGUCAGUUCAUGGCGUGGUUGGUGACAAUAACGUUCUUGGACAAUUACCUUGAAUAAAUCAGAGCAAGCUCAAAGCAAGCUACUAUGAUUAAGCAUGGGAUAAUACCUAUCGCAUUGUGCAGAUUGAUGGUGUGCUCAAUUCCAUCGUGCAUAUGUGAUUAAUAGGGACAGUUGGGGGCACUAGUAUUGGGUGGCGAGAGGUGAAAUUCUUAGACCCUCCCAAGACUAACUACUGCGAAAGCAUCUGCCAAGGAUGUUUUCAUUGAUCAAGAGCGAAAGUGCGGGGAUCGAAGACGAUCAGAUACCGUCGUAGUCCGCACUGUAAAUUCUGCCGGCCGAGCGUCGGAAAUACGAAUACAUGCCUUAUCCGGCACUCCAUAGAAAUAUUGAGCCCUUAGGUUCUGGGGGGAGUAUACUCGCAAGGGUGAAACUUAAAGGAAUUGACGGAAGAGCACCACCAGGAGUGGAGCCUGCGGCUUAAUUUGACUCAACACGGGAAAACUUACGGGGGC